rnacentral:rRNA from 1 species
UACGAAGGGGGCUAGCGUUGCUCGGAAUCACUGGGCGUAAAGGUGCGUAGCGGAUCUUUAAGUCAGGGGUGAAAUCCUGGAGCUCAACUCCAGAACUGCCUUUGAUACUGGGUAUCUUGAGUAUGGAAGAGGUAAGUGGAAUUGCGAGUGUAGAGGUGAAAAUUCGUAGAUAUUCGCAGGAACACCAGUGGCGAAGGCGGCUUACUGGUCCAUUACUGACGCUGAGGUGCGAAAGCGUGGGGAGCAAACAGG